UACGUAGAAGACUAGUGUUAGUCAUACGUUUAUUAGGUUUAAAGGGGUACCUAGACGGUAAAUAACACUUGACGGUAGAGUACUUAUUUACUAGAGUUUUAUGUGAGAAGGAAGAACGUUCUGGAGUAGUGAUAGAAUACGUGAUACAGAGGGACUGGUAACGGCGAAAGGCAUCCUUCUAUGUAAAAACGUGACGUUGAGGGACGAAGGCUUGGGUAGCAAGAAGGGAUUAAGAUACCCU
rnacentral:rRNA from 1 species